CAACUGUUGACAGUCCUAGCCUGGUCUGCAACAAGCAUGACUCCAUGACCUCCUGGAGUGGCCUGAGCUUAGCCAUCAUGACCCUCACUAAGGGACACUGUCAUCUGAUUCUACUGACAGAGAAGGGCAGAAGGACAAACACCUGGCUCCAACUUACUCAGACAGGGUUUCUCUGUGUAGCUUUGGAGCCUAUCCUGGCACUCACUCUGGAGACCAGGCUGGCCUCGAACUGAACUCACAGAGAUCCGCCACAGAUUCAAGAGUCUUAUGAAGAUGCUUUAGACUCCAUGGCCCUGUCAAAGGGCAGAACCAUCCUGUCACUGGUGAGAUUUUCUGUAUGUGCCUGCCACAGCUGCAAAUUCGGCCACUGACUUGAUCUCUCGGCUUUCAGGACCUGCUAUGUACUUCCCACUCUCUUCACCAAGGCGGCUUCCAGUUCCUUCAUGGGUGUCUCUCCCUCCAUCCUUUCUUUAUUUCAAAUGAUGUGAAACCUGCUUGGCU
rnacentral:lncRNA from 1 species